rnacentral:rRNA from 1 species
GUAGGGUGCAAGCGUUAAUCGGAAUUACUGGGCGUAAAGCGUGCGCAGGCGGUUUUGUAAGAUAGAUGUGAAAUCCCCGGGCUCAACCUGGGAAUUGCAUAUAUGACUGCAAGACUUGAGUUUGUCAGAGGAGGGUGGAAUUCCAAGUGUAGCAGUGAAAUGCGUAGAUAUUUGGAAGAACACCGAUGGCGAAGGCAGCCCUCUGGGACAUGACUGACGCUCAUGCACGAAAGCGUGGGGAGCAAACAGGAUUAGAUACCCUGGUAGUCCACGCCCUAAACGAUGUCUACUAGUUGUUGGGAGAGCAAUCUCUUGGUAACGCAGCUAACGCGUGAAGUAGACCGCCUGGGGAGUACGGUCGCAAGAUUAAAACUCAAA